rnacentral:rRNA from 1 species
GACGAACGCUGGCGGCGUGCUUAACACAUGCAAGUCGAACGCUGAACCGGUUUCGGCCGGGGAUGAGUGGCGAACGGGUGAGUAACACGUGGGUAAUCUGCCUUGCACUCUGGGAUAAGCCUGGGAAACUGGGUCUAAUACCGGAUAUCACAAUUCUGGGCAUCCAGGGUUGUUGAAAGUUCUGGCGGUGCAGGAUGAGCCCGCGGCCUAUCAGCUUGUUGGUGGGGUGAUGGCCUACCAAGGCGACGACGGGUAGCCGGCCUGAGAGGGUGACCGG